rnacentral:rRNA from 1 species
CGCGGGAUUACUCCUACGGAGGCAGCAGUAAGGAAUAUUGGUCAAUGGACGAAAGUCUGAACCAGCCAUGCCGCGUGGAGGAUGAAGGUCCUCUGGAUUGUAAACUUCUUUUAUAUGGGACGAAAAAAGGGUUUUCUAACUCGUCUGACGGUACCAUAUGAAUAAGCACCGGCUAACUCCGUGCCAGCAGCCGCGGUAAUAAUCACUAGU